rnacentral:rRNA from 1 species
AUUGAACGCUGGCGGCAGGCCUAACACAUGCAAGUCGAACGCGUGGCGGACGGGUGAAUAAUGUCUGGGAAACUGCCAGAUGGAGGGGUAUAACUACUGGACACUGUAGCUAAUACCGCAUCCCAUCGGAUAUGCCCAGAUGGGAUUAGCUAGUAGGUGGGGUAAAGUCUCACCUAGGCGACGAUCCCUAGCUGGUCUGAGAGGAUGACCAGCCACACUGGAACUGAGACACGGUCCAGACUCCUACGGGAGGCAGCAGUGGGGAAUAUUGCACAAUGGGAGAAAGCCUGAUGCAGCCAUGCCGCGUGUAUGAAGAAGGCCUUCGGGUUGUAAAGUACUUUCAGCGGGGAGGCGUUACCCGCAGAAGAAGCACCGGCUAACUCCGUGCCAGCAGCCGCGGUAAUAC